GGGAUGCACGCUCCCUAGUAUUUUUUAAUGGAAUGGUUGAAUGGUUUCAAAUGUAACUUCCUAGUCAGUCUGGAUCACUGAAAGAGUUUCAUGGCUUUCAUGGUGUAAUUGACUGUGUUUUCUCUCCACCUCUUGAAAGAGGAGACAGUAUUGGCUCAAAUUAAAAUGCACAGUAAGAAAUCAGGAAUGAGAUCAAUGCAGUAUAUAACUACUGCUAUGUGAGAGUGUUUCCAUCGACUGCAACAGUCUUUACAUCAGAUCUAACAGAAGGACACCAAGGAUCAAAUUCAUCACAUCUAUUUUUAGAUGUUGUGAGUGCUACGUCUAAGGUAGUCGGCAAGACCAAAAUAAGAGCUCCUAGAAGGGUGUUAAUCUCAUUCCUUUAAAUAUCUAUUUUUGGAUGAGAUUAAUCACAAUUUAGGAGUGCCUUUUUCCCUCAGAAGACUAGAACAGGACUUCCUCAUGACUUUUUCAAGCUGCAGAAGUUCAGCAGAAGAAGAAUCCCACCCCUGUGCUGGAGGUAACGACUGCCAUGGUAAGGGGGGGACAGAUGACUGCAGGGAGAAGGAGAAUUAAGAUUCAAGUGUAAGAGCUUGGAUUCUUGGGACAACCUUAGAGCAGCUCCACUCCUUCCACGUUGUUAUACUACCAUCUACUGAUAAAAGGACGCUACUUCUCCAGGAUCUUCUGUCUUCAUCACCUUGGUGCAACAAGCAAGAUUUCAACUCAAUCAGAGCUCGAAAAUGAGCAUUAUCUGCCACUUCAAGCGUUAUCGCCUGAAUGUUCUUCUCUGCAAUAUGAAAGUAUCCACAGAGUAAUCAGCUGCACUCCAGAUCCUUUGUAGAAAAUAAGGUAUUGGGGGAUUUAUAUUUGUUAAUUCCUUUGUGUGUUUUUUGGUUUGUUGUUUUUUUGUUUGUUUUGGGUUUGUGGUUUUGUUUUGGUUUUGUUUGUUUGUGCUUUGGUGUUGUUCUUUCUUUUUCCCAAAGGAAAAAAUAAGCUAAGGGAUGGAAAACUAUCAUCAAAAGCCUUUUGACAACUUGAAGGAAGGAGGCUGGGUUGCUCUAUUGCUAAAGUAAGGCAACACUACAUUGCUGGUUUAAAGCAGCUUAAAAUGCACUACAGUUAAAAAACAAAGUAACAAAUUUAGUCCUAUAAAAUAUUAAUUGUUCCCCAUUAUUAACAGCAGGAAAGGCAAUAGCUUGGCUUUUUGCAGUGUUCCCACACCCCUCUAGGGGUUCUCAGUGCUUCCAGUGAGCUGUUCCCGCUCAGCAUCCAGGAAAAAACAAAAUAAAAAACAACCAAACAAAACAACACCAACACCACCACAAAAAACCCACAGUCAUCUGGGAUUACUGUUCUGUUUGACUAAGGAACAGAGAAUAGAGAGAAAAGCUGAGGACUCUUCGCAAGGUCUCUGGAUGAAACAAUUAUAAGUGCCAGUUAAUUUCAUAUCCUCUGCCCUUCUCAGAUAUACCCUAAACAGAAAGAGUGGCAGGCACCUUUUAUUUUAAUCAGUGCGCUACAGUGAUUUGGGGCUAAUUAGAUGUUAGUAAUUAAGAAGAGACUGCUGUGACGGGUGUUUUUACAGGUUGCAUUGUUGAUUCAAGAAGUAAGACUGUUCACCUUUAAGUAUUGUCAGUCACAUUACUUUAGCUGGGAAGAAUUAAAUGUCAAUUUUAUCUUGCUUCAUCACUGCUCUUUAAUCAAUGUCGAUGCAUCACUUCCCCCUAUCAUUCCUCCAUCAAACACUGACCUGGAAAUCUGACACUGAGCUUUCCAACACCACCUCAGCUAAUUAAGAACUUUGUUAUUCCACCUUCCGUCUUUUAAAGAAAAGCAAGAAAAGUGCCAAAGAGACUCUUGCUUUCAUGUGGAAAAGCAUCAGCAGGGGGUUAAUAAUAAUUAUUAAAAUGACUGACAGCUCAGGCUACGCUGUGAUUUGGCCCAGCUCUAUAUUCCCAUAGCCACAAAAAGGCAAAAGCUAAGAAAAGUCAGGCCUUAAAUAACUACAGUGAAAAAAUGGGAUUUUAGGAAAUAAAACAGCUUCCCACCAGCACACUACAGGAAGAAACCAAGAGUGUCUUGUAACCUGGAAAGGUGCUGAUAUUUAUCUUUGCGUCUAACCCUUUCAGUGUGGUAGCCAUACCUGCCUUAAAUCACUGGGUGUGCUAAAGAUCAGCAGAAGGAGCACUCAGAGCCUUUCCCAAGCACUCAGCCAUGGACAGCGUGGGUCACCACCGAGGAAUUAAAAGCAGGGCUGAGCUAUAUCCAGAUGGGUUUACUGGAUUUUCCUGCAUGUAAACACAAGCAGAGGAGGCUGUGUAAUGUUUGUACUGCCAGAAAUUGUGGAAAUCCUAAGCACAGAUUAAGAUCUCAGUAUUCUGGGGAUGUGCAAAAUGACAGCCCCAGUCCCAUAGAUCUCACAAUCCAAAUGUGAUAAAUAGAAACACAGUGUGGAGGCAAACAGCUUGUGGCGGUGCACGAAAAAAAUUGAGAAAAAAUAUAAGCAAAGAAGAAUUCUUGAUCGGUAUCAUGUCACUGCUCCUCUGUCUCCAACAGGCUUUUAAAAUAGUGGGAAAGCAGGACAGGAAGCAUAGUUUAAGUAUUACAAAAACCAGGUAUUUGUGAAGACAUUCACUACCUUUCCCUGAGUCCAUGGGGAACUCAUAAGGGCACAUACUGCAAAAGAAUUUGCUGGAAAACUUUGCUGGUAGAGAAUCAAUUAGUUGUGGCCUGUCAAAAGCGGGCACAGAUUUGUCAAUACUGAGUAAGAGUGAUAAGCAGGAUGGAUAUGGGCUGUGAAGGCUCUUCAAUAAAGAGACAGUCAGGACUAGCAAUGAGGGCUCGGGAGGCAGAGGCAGGUCAAAGCUUCUUGGACAUGGAAUCCAGCAGCAAGGUGAACCUGGGUAAGAAGUCUGUUUGUUUCUGCUGUGCUUCCGGAAGAGAAAUAUUAGGUGUAUUUUCUGAACAGAAGCAAGAAGAACAAUCAAUGCAUAGAUCUGGCUGAUAUCAGUGUUUUCUUAUUCAACUGCAAACAGUAUCAGGAGGUCCUAAUUUUGCUGGUCUGACUCCUCAGAGGUGGGGACACAAAAGAACAAGCACUUAGCACAAACCUGUGCUUAUAUUAUCUCACUCAAAAGACCUGUAGACCUAACAAUUCAAGCAGAUUCUGAAGGCUUUCACAGGAUUACUCAUGUAAGAAAGGCUUUUUGCAUAAGAAUGAAGAAUCAGAACUCCAAACAUAUUGUAAGGGCCCAAUUUCCAGUGAAAGAUAGAAAAAAGACACAAGUGUCACUCUUAAUCUCCUUUUUCAAGGCCAUCAUUUUCUUUGAGGUGUUUUGUGGGGUUUUUUUUAGGGAAAAAAAUGCUAUUGAGUAAACCAUGCUGCUUAGAAUGCUCAUCACCCAUCUCAAAGUCAUAGAAUGCCAGGCUGGAAGGGACCUCAAGGAUCAUCUGGUCCAACCUGUCUUGGCAGAAGUCCAGUCUAUAACAGCUGAGAUGUCCCAGCACCCUGUCCAGCUGAAUCUUUAAAGUGUCCAAUGUUGGGGAAUCAAACAAGAGAAGUCCUCUCAUAGCUCCAAAGCAGGUAUGUGCAGCAGCUCCAUCCUGACCCAGCCCUUGUCCCAAGUCAAGCAGGACUCCGGUCAAUUCCAGCUCUGGAGGCCCUCAGAUGCCAGAACCAAAUCCUAACCCCCAGCAGGGCAUGGUGAGUCCCCUCUCAGCUCUGUGUUAAACCCACCAAAUUAUAAUACAUCUGCAGGGCAGUUCAGAUUCCCCAAGUUUUGAACCUUUUAAUUUUUCUCAGUCCAUAAGUGGGACAUCUCAGGGAUAAAAUUCUGAAUGGAGGCACUGAGAGUGUACGUUCAAGUCUUGGCACUGCCACACACACCUUCCGAGACUGCUGAUAAACCGCUUAAUCUCAGGACUUCAGCCUCUCAUCAGGCCAAUGAAGGUUCCUUAAUGUACAGAUUUUGUGAAGAUCAAUUCUUUAGUAUCUGUGAAAAGCAACAUUAGAAUAUCUACAAAGGGACCUCAGUAAUACUGUUGCAUCUUCAGUACCACCUUAUGAAAUGCACUUUUCCUGAAGAACAGUGACCUUGAUUCUGCAAACUGUGUAAGCAUAUACUUCAAGCUUAGCUGAUUUUGAAAUGGCUCGUAGAAUCAGUGCUGAUACAUCCACCACAGAUAUAUCCAAACACACAGCUGACAAAAUAAAUAUCUUCUUAGUGUUCAUAUUAUCAUCCAGUGUUUUGGGGCCAUCUCAUAAAGGCGCUUACGUGCAACAAUGCCUAAGCAAAAUGGGUUGAUUUAAGAGGGCCGAGGGAACACUUAGCUGAGAAUUUCCUGGCUUCAGUUAGUUGCAGUCAGAGCGUUAAGAUUAUAUUUCAGUGUCAGUAUAUUGUUUUUAUUUGCUUUAUUAAAUUUGCUUUAACUUGCACUGACGUUUUCUUUCCCUUGUUACUCAAUCUCUCAGCUUUAAAGAUUUCAUUUGCUGAAUUGUUUUGCCAUUUGUAUCAAAAAUAAAUGUUAAUGCAAUAGGAACUCAACUUUUUUUUCACCAAGAAGUGAAAUCAAGUCCCAGGUGCUGCUGCUGCUUGACUUCCAGUCUCGGCCUGGGCAGACUAGUCAGGAUCUUUUGAUUCAAAUGCAGCAGCACCACCAAGACACAGAAUUUGUUCUUUCAGACCAUGCAGUUAUUGGAGUUGGGCACCACUGGCUGCCAAACUCCUGUUUAAAUUCACCACCCCUUCUAGUGUCAGCACUGCUGUUCCUGAUAGCACGUACAGACAAGAUCAUGUAGUGCCAUGUUUCCUAAAGAUAACUUCGAUUUCAGCAUAUGCAACAUUGCACUUGUCAGUAUUUUUGGGGGGCUAAGUGUGAUGGGAUUUGUUUACUGGAAGCUCACUCGGAAAAAAAUCAAUGCAUGUUUAAGUCAUA